GGGCCCGCACAAGCGGUGGAGUAUGUGGUUUAAUUCGAUGCAACGCGAAGAACCUUACCAGGGUUUGACAUCCUGCGAAUCUCUUGGAAACGAGAGAGUGCCUUCGGGAACGCAGUGACAGGUGGUGCAUGGCUGUCGUCAGCUCGUGUCGUGAGAUGUUGGGUUAAGUCCCGCAACGAGCGCAACCCACGUCUUUAGUUGCCAGCAUUUAGUUGGGCACUCUAGGAGAACUGCCGGUGACAAGCCGGAGGAAGGCGGGGAUGACGUCAAGUCCUCAUGGCCCUUACGGGCUGGGCUACACACGUGCUACAAUGGCGGUGACAAUGGGCAGCAAACCCGCAAGGGUGAGCUAAUCCGUGAAAAACCGUCUCAGUUCGGAUUGUACUCUGCAACUCGAGUGCAUGAAGUUGGAAUCGCUAGUAA
rnacentral:rRNA from 1 species